AUGAACGCUGGCGGCGUGCCUAAUACAUGCAAGUCGAGCGAACAGACGAGGAGCUUGCUCCUCUGACGUUAGCGGCGGACGGGUGAGUAACACGUGGAUAACCUACCUAUAAGACUGGGAUAACUUCGGGAAACCGGAGCUAAUACCGGAUAAUAUAUUGAACCGCAUGGUUCAAUAGUGAAAGACGGUUUUGCUGUCACUUAUAGAUGGAUCCGCGCCGCAUUAGCUAGUUGGUAAGGUAACGGCUUACCAAGGCAACGAUGCGUAGCCGACCUGAGAGGGUGAUCGGCCACACUGGAACUGAGACACGGUCCAGACUCCUACGGGAGGCAGCAGUAGGGAAUCUUCCGAAAGGGGCGAAAGCCUGACGGAGCAACGCCGCGUGGGUGAUGAAGGUCUUCGGAUCGUAAAACUCUGUUAUUAGGGAAGAACAAAUGUGUAAGUAACGAUGCACGUCUGGACGGUACCUAAUCAGAAAGCCACGGCUAACUACGG
rnacentral:rRNA from 1 species